AUACGGAGGGGACAAGCGUUAUUCGGAAUCACUGGGCGUAAAGGACGCGUAGGCGGGUUAUUAAGUCGGGUGUGAAAUCCAAUGGCUCAACCAUUGAACUGCAUUCGAAACUGAUAACCUAGAGUAUGGAAGGGGCAGGUGGAAUUAGUGGUGUAGAGGUAAAAUCCGUAGAUAUCACUAGGAAUACCGAAAGCGAAGGCGACCUGCUGGGACAUUACUGACGCUGAGGCGUGAAAGCGUGGGGAGCAAACAGGAUUAGAAACCCGGGUAGUCC
rnacentral:rRNA from 1 species